UGGCGGCAUGCCUUACACAUGCAAGUCGAACGGCAGCACGGGGGCAACCCUGGUGGCGAGUGGCGAACGGGUGAGUAAUACAUCGGAACGUGUCCUGUAGUGGGGGAUAGCCCGGCGAAAGCCGGAUUAAUACCGCAUACGCUCUGCGGAGGAAAGCGGGGGCUCCUUCGGGACCUCGCGCUACAGGGGCGGCCGAUGGCAGAUUAGCUAGUUGGUGGGGUAAAGGCCUACCAAGGCGACGAUCUGUAGCUGGUCUGAGAGGACGACCAGCCACACUGGGACUGAGACACGGCCCAGACUCCUACGGGAGGCAGCAGUGGGGAAUUUUGGACAAUGGGCGCAAGCCUGAUCCAGCAAUGCCGCGUGUGUGAAGAAGGCCUUCGGGUUGUAAAGCACUUUUGUCCGGAAAGAAAACCUCAGCCCUAAUACGGCGGGGGGAUGACGGUACCGGAAGAAUAAGCACCGGCUAACUACGUGCCAGCAGCCGCGGUAAUACGUAGGGUGCAAGCGUUAAUCGGAAUUACUGGGCGUAAAGCGUGCGCAGGCGGUCCGCUAAGACAGAUGUGAAAUCCCCGGGCUUAACCUGGGAACUGCAUUUGUGACUGGCGGGCUAGAGUAUGGCAGAGGGGGGUAGAAUUCCACGUGUAGCAGUGAAAUGCGUAGAGAUGUGGAGGAAUACCGAUGGCGAAGGCAGCCCCCUGGGCCAAUACUGACGCUCAUGCACGAAAGCGUGGGGAGCAAACAGGAUUAGAUACCCUGGUAGUCCACGCCCUAAACGAUGUCAACUAGUUGUCGGGCCUUCAUUGGCUUGGUAACGUAGCUAACGCGUGAAGUUGACCGCCUGGGGAGUACGGUCGCAAGAUUAAAACUCAAAGGAAUUGACGGGGACCCGCACAAGCGGUGGAUGAUGUGGAUUAAUUCGAUGCAACGCGA
rnacentral:rRNA from 1 species